rnacentral:rRNA from 1 species
ACGAACGCUGGCGGCGUGCUUAACACCUGCCAGUCGCACGGAAAGGCCCUGCUUUUGUGGGGUGCUCGAGUGGCGAACGGGUGAGUAACACGUGAGUAACCUGCCCUUGACUUUGGGAUAACUUCAGGAAACUGGGGCUAAUACCGGAUAGGAGCUCCUGCUGCAUGGUGGGGGUUGGAAAGUUUCGGCGGUUGGGGAUGGACUCGCGGCUUAUCAGCUUGUUGGUGGGGUAGUGGCUUACCAAGGCUUUGACGGGUAGCCGGCCUGAGAGGGUGGCCGGCCACAUUGGGACUGAGAUACGGCCCAGACUCCUACGGGAGGCAGCAGUGGGGAAUAUUGCACAAUGGGCGGAAGCCUGAUGCAGCAACGCCGCGUGCGGGAUGACGGCCUUCGGGUUGUAAACCGCUUUCGCCUGUGACGAAGCGUGAGUGACGGUAAUGGGUAAAGAAGCACCGGCUAACUACGU